GAGUUUUGCUGGUGGUUAAGUAUAUAUUUCAAUGGUCCGUGUAAAGGAAACAACAGUAGACAAAGAAAAUUGUAUUUCUCGGCUGACUGUAUUGUCUUUCCUGAGGACCCUCAUCAUAACAACUUUUUCUCUGGUGAUUUCCAAUGAAUCACCCUGAAGUAGUACCUGCAAUGACGUUGCACACACUAUUCUCUGCAAUCAGCUGUGCGAAGACAGCUGUCACUCCUCUUCGUCACUAAAGGGAAUCCCAGUCUGAUGGCAGCAGUCCCAUGGUAAGAUCUGGUCUGCAGAGAAGAACCAUCACAGAACUCUCCAAGAAUAUAUUUAUCAAAGCCAUGUGGAAGAGAGUAUCCUCUGGACCAUCCCAGGAUGAUUCCUGGCCACAGCAAAGAGGA
rnacentral:lncRNA from 1 species